rnacentral:rRNA from 1 species
UGGUUAAAAAUGCUUAAAUGUAAAAUUUUAUUUAAAUGGAUUGUUUUGUGUUAAUAAAGGGUGAAAUCGAUUUUUUGUUGUAUAACUAAUUUUGUUAAAUAAAAGUUGUUGAGGUUGUUAAGGUUAAGGUAUGAACCAGGAUUAGAUACCCUGUUACACUUUACUUAGAAGUUUAUUGUACCUAGGUAAUAAACAGUUAUGAUCUUGAAACUUAAAGGAUUUGGCGGUAAUUUAGUCUAGUUAGAGGAACCUGUCCUAUAAUCGAUAAACCACGUAAUAUCUUACUUUAUCUUGAAAGUUUUCAGUUUAUAUACCAUCAUUAUUAGAUAACUUUAAUAAGAUAGAGAAGUUAUUGAAAUAAUUUUUAGUUAAUAUAUUAGAUCAAGGUGUAGCUAAUGAUAAAGUAGAGAUGGGUUACAAUAAUAUGAGUUUAUAACGAACUUAAGAAAGAACUUUUUUAAUGAAGGAGGAUUUAAAUGUAAAUGUGUUUUAAUAUGACAUAUUGAUUAUAGCUCUAGAUUAUGUACACAUCGCCCGUCGCUCUCGUUAUAUAAAGCGAGAUAAGUCGUAACAUAGUAGGUGUACUGGAAAGUGUACCUAG